GCCCGGUGACCUCGUUUAACGGCCGCGACUAAGUGCUAAGGCAGCAUAAUAAUUUGUCUUUUUAUUGGAGACUAGAAUGAAAGAAGAUAACGAGGCUUAACUGUCUCCAAGCAACCUAUUAAAAUUGAUUUAAGAGUGAAAAAUCUCGUAUACUAGGGAAGGACGAAAAGACCCUGUAGAGUUUGUAGUGAAAUUAAUAAAUUAAUUAAUUCACUUUUAUUGGGGCAAUAAAAGAUCAAAUUUAAACUCUUUUAAAAGGUUUUUGACAUAUCAAAAAAAAAGAUCCUCAAAGAGAAAAAAGAAAAACUACCUCAGGGAUAACAGCGUAAUUCUUCCAGAGAGAUCUAAUUGAAGGAAUGAGUUUGCGACCUCGAUGUUGGACUAAGGUAACUUUUAAAUGCAGAAGUUUAUUAAAGUAAGCCUGUUCGGCUUUUAAAACCUUACGUGAUCUGAGUUCAAACCGGAUCCCCG
rnacentral:rRNA from 1 species